GGCUUGGUAGCUCAGUUGGUAGAGCAGCGGACUGAAAAUCCGCGUGUCGGGAGUUCAAAUCUCUCCCAAGCCACCA
rnacentral:tRNA from 1 species